CUAGAAUUUAUAGUUUGAUUUUUGAAAGUUAUAAGACUUUUUGAUUGAAAGUUUGUAUCUUGAACUGUAUUUAUUGUGCUACUGAAAGACUAGAGAGAUUCAAAUGGCCCCAGAUAUAAAAGAAAAAGCGUGGUCGACAUUAUAAGUAGAAAAUUUAGUGGAUGAGUAUAUAGCUUGAAAGGGUGUUAUUCUUGGUGCCUCCUUGAAGCCAGGUAUUACCAAAUAACACAAAAAACAUGCUUGGACACAAAUUGUAGAAGCCUUAGCACAAGCAUGCCCCGAUGAACCAAAUCAUGAUGUGAAGGAGACAAAGAAGAAAUUUUGUCCCCUAAAAGAUAUUUUCAUGGAGAUGGGGCCUAGCAAUGCUUAUGUGAGUGCCAUCGACACUCCCUACUACACCUCUAAGAUUUGCUAAUUGUCAACAAUACUAAUUACCUCUGAUUGUCCGGAAAGAAUAUGUGAUCGGAAGCUAUGUCACACAAAGCUUUAGAAACAUCUCUCACACAUCUUGACACCGAUGACUGACUUAUCUUCAACACAUUUCCCACAGUUGAUUGGAAUGUUCCAUUGGCAUAAAAUUGAAGCGAUAAUAGUAUUUGUUCAAUAGGUAACAAACA